CUUUUUUUUUUUUUUUUUUUUUGUGGUGAAUUGGUUUUUUUUUUUUUUUUUUUUUUUUUUUUUUUUUUUUUUUUUUUUUUGGAGAA